GAGAGUGGAAGGGCGGCUGCCGCUGGCGAACCCUUCGCCGGUGUGGAAAGUCCCCCCACCUCUGGACACGCAGACACCUUUUUCGGGUGUAGGGCGAGAGCUCUGGCUCUGGCACAGAAACGGCACUGCAUCGCGCUAAUGCCAUGAUGCUGAAAAGCUGAGGUCGCGCGGGAGGCAGAUGAAACGGCGAAUCCCUGCGGGUGCAAGCCAAAAUAAGGGCGAUCGAUGGAGUCCAGCCAACGCCCGGGUAUGGCGCUAAGCUGAAUGCUGCCAAUGCUAAGCAAGCACGAACAGAAGGGGGCUUACUCUCCAGACUC
rnacentral:RNase_P_RNA from 1 species